UACGUAGGGUGCGAGCGUUGUCCGGAAUUAUUGGGCGUAAAGAGCUCGUAGGCGGUCUGUCACGUCGGCUGUGAAAUCCCGAGGCUCAACCUCGGGUCGUGCAGUCGAUACGGGCAAACUAGAGUAUUGCAGGGGAGACUGGAAUUCCUGGUGUAGCGGUGGAAUGCGCAGAUAUCAGGAGGAACACCAAUGGCGAAGGCAGGUCUCUGGGCCACACUGACGCUGAGGAGCGAAAGCGUGGGGAGCGAACAGG
rnacentral:rRNA from 1 species